rnacentral:rRNA from 1 species
CAGCCGCCGCGGUAAUACGUAGGGUGCGAGCGUUCAUCGGAUUUACUGGGCGUAAAGCGUGCGCAGGCGGCCCGUUAAGACAGGUGUGAAAUCCCUGGGCUCAACCUAGGAAUUGCGCUUGUGACUGGCGGGCUCGAGUACGGUAGAGGGGGGUGGAAUUCCUGGUGUAGCAGUGAAAUGCGUAGAGAUCAGGAGGAACACCGAUGGCGAAGGCAGCCCCCUGGGCCUGUACUGACGCUCAUGCACGAAAGCGUGGGGAGCAAACAGGAUUAGAUACCCUGGUAGUCCACGCCCUAAACGAUGGGUACUAGCCGUUUGGUGCGCGAUAGCGCUGAGUGGCGAAGCUAACGCGUGAAGUACCCCGCCUGGGGAGUACGGCCGCAAGGUUGAAACUUAAAGGAAUUGGCGGG